CAGUAGCCGCGGGAACACGGAGGAUCCAAGCGUUAUCCGGAAUCAUUGGGUUUAAAGGGUCCGUAGGCGGUCUUGUAAGUCAGUGGUGAAAGCCCAUCGCUCAACGGUGGAACGGCCAUUGAUACUGCAGGACUUGAAUUAUUGGGAAGUAACUAGAAUAUGUAGUGUAGCGGUGAAAUGCUUAGAGAUUACAUGGAAUACCAAUUGCGAAGGCAGGUUACUACCAAUUGAUUGACGCUGAUGGACGAAAGCGUGGGUAGCGAACAGGAUUAGAUACCCCUGUAGUCCCUGUCUCUUAUAC
rnacentral:rRNA from 1 species